rnacentral:rRNA from 1 species
UGCAAGUCGUACGGGUAGUUUUUAACUCUAGUGGCGACGGGUGAGUAACACGUGAGAAUUUGCCUUUAGGAGGGGGGACAACAGUUGGAAACGACUGCUAAUACCCCAUAUGCUUUCGAGUGAAAUGGAUUUAUAUUUAUCCGCCUAGAGAGAAGCUCGCGGCUGAUUAGCUUGUUGGUAAGGUAAGAGCUUACCAAGGCGACGAUCAGUAUCUGGUUUGAGAGGACGAUCAGACACACUGGAACUGAGACACGGUCCAGACUCCUACGGGAGGCAGCAGUGGGGAAUUUUCCGCAAUGGGCGAAAGCCUGACGGAGCAAUACCGCGUGAGGGAAGAAUGCCUAUGGGUUGUAAACCUCUUUUUCAGGGAGGAAUAAAAUGACGUGUACCUGAAGAAUAAGCAUCGGCUAACUCCGUG